rnacentral:misc_RNA from 1 species
UUUCCGUAGGUGAACCUGCGGAAGGAUCAUUAAAGUUAUAAUCCUCCGGCCCCUCCGGGCUGAGGUCUUCUUUACCAUCGUUUGUUUAUUACAUCUUUGUUGCUUUGGCAGGCCUGCCCUCGGGCUGCUGGCUCCGGCCGGCUCGUGCCUGCCGGAGGACCUAAACACUGUUUGUAUAUGAGUUAUGAGUACUAUAUAAUAGUUAAAACUUUCAACAACGGAUCUCUUGGUUCUG